GAGGGGACAUGAGCUGAGGGGCCAAGCUCCCCCUUAUCUAAUCAACAUUACGGCGAGGACACAGUUCUUUAAAGCUCCUGCCCUUGCAGUCUCGGAGGCCCUCAUCAUAAAGGCGGAGGAGCUGCUUAAUCCACCUUCCCCAGCAACACCACUAAACAUGAGCCCAACAUCUGGAGGGCUCAUAACAGUGGAAGGGGAGGUUGUGGAGGUAAAUAUUUGUGGUUCCAUCAGAAUUGAUAUUGCUUUAGGUUUUCAAAGAAACCAUUACUUUUUUGUCUUUAAAAGUAAAAAUAAUAAUUUUAUUGUUCUUGUCAAACAAACACAAAAUUGUGAGAACAAGAUCAACCACUAUUAUUUUGUAAAUGGUUGUAGAUUUAUCAUUAACAACAAUAAUACAAUAAUAGAUGUAGUAAGUCAAGAAAGUAGCACCUAGAUGUACACACACAGAUUUAUGCAAUCACUAUAACUGACAUUAUAUUUUAAUUGAAUUUUCAGUGUUCGGCAGUGAGGAAGUUUGCUCAGGCAAACAACUGGUGCCUAUAACGCUCCAGCUAAAACAGGAUGGACAUACCAUGACUGUCUCCUUGUGGAGGGAGGCGUCAAUUGUUGACGUUCGUGUGGGAGAUCAGGUAAAGAUCUCCCAUGUCAAAGUGCACCGCUCCGCCUAUGGAGUACAGCUCCAGUCAACUUCCCAUACAAAGACUGAGGUAUGAAGAAGCCAUAUGUUUGUACCAACAUGUAAUAGCAAUGUCAUUUGCCAAAAUGUUUAGAAUUAUAGGUGGUCCAAAAGAUU